UAAUCCUUGCUACCUGGGUGAGAGUGCUUUCUGAAUGCAAUGCACCUGGGCAAGGAUUCUGA
rnacentral:pre_miRNA from 2 species